AAUAGGUCAAAUAACCACCCUCAGAACAUUAUCCUAGACACUGGGGUUGGGGAGGACUCUGUAGCCAUGGGAGAAGGGUAGAGCUGAGAGCAUGCUAGGCUGGGGCACCAAGAAGGGCCCACAGAAGGGUCCUGUGCCCACCUGACCCUCUCAACAGGCUACCUGCAGUAGAGUCAUGGAGCUCUCUCCGGGGGAGAGCCGACUGCCACAAGACACCUCCAGAGGGCAGUUUCCAAGGGGAAAAAGCAGGAGUGGCUGGUUCUUAGAUGAGAAGACAAGGUCCGUGUGGAUCUGUGUCUGUGUACACCAUGGCCCCAUCUCCCUGCAGCUCCCAUGGCUAGUAACCAUGGAAACACAGUCCUCCCCAAUACCAUACUCUGCUGACAAACACUGGGAGUCCCCCCAGCCCCCUCCCCACUUCAGGGAAGUAGCAUGGACCUCAGCAGUUCCCAGUAAGCAAGGGAUGGUGGGGAUGAAGAAGGUGGACAUUUGCUCUAGGGCUUUGAAGGCCCAGGCUAGACCUCCAAGUCCUUCCUCUGCCGGUCUAUGGCCAAGACCUGGUCACUUGCCUAAGGGAAAGCGGCGGCCAGACCAAAGCUGCCAUCUCUAAGGACACCGUCCUUUCCCCUGGAGCUUCCCCAGUAGCUGAAGAGCCUCAAAGCCAGCAGCCACAACUGUGAUGGCCUUUACUUUUCUACUCUUCUGCCUCAACAGGGAGAAAGCUAUGAGCUCAGAGAUGCAUGCCAUUCUAGACAUCUGGUUCAGUGAGACAGAGGCUCUAUCUUGAAUCCUGGAGUAAUCACGUAGAACAACUACCACAUUUGGAAUGCAUAGCAGUCAUGUUAAAUGCCAUGCACAUGGACUCAAGGCCCUCGAUGCUACCCUGUCAACCUACUAUUUUCUCCACUGUGCCCACUGGAGAUUAAAGUUUUGCUUCACAAAAUGA